AAUUCCCGCCUAUGUCUGUUCCCCCAAAAUUUUGAUUUGCCUCUCAUUCUCAAUUUUAGAAUUGGACGCCAUCUCCCAUCACCCCCCACCCCCCAUCGAAAUUCUCUCCCUCAACCUCUAUCGAUCAUUUCCUUCAUUCGAUCCCAAUCCCCCAUACCCCAAACGGAAGGUCGUCUCCUCCCAUCGAUUUCUGCCAAUUUACCACUAAUGAACUGCGGCUGAGUGACCGACGAACCACCACUGCACCAUCAGAUAAUCUAUCAUAACUGCUCGGUUCCUUGUUGCUCGACUCCACAUCGCUUCAAUCAUAACUUCAUCCCUGAGCAAAAUGUGAAACAUCAUUUUCUGGAACAGGCAUUGGUACAUUGCUAGACAAGUGAAAAUCCAAAGCCACGUGGUUGCAUUUUUUAAAGGAGAUGAUUGUUGUGUUUUAGUUAUAAUGUAAAUGCCACAACUCCCAGACGUAUGAUGAACCCAAAUAGGUCAAAAUGUCUAAGAAAAACAUCUUUUGUUGUGCUCAACAGUUAAUAUUAAAGAGACCCGAUCAUAUGUUAGUUGACUCAUAUAGAUUAUUUAUUGAGUGCGACCGUGUUCAAGUUCCUGUUGUUGGUGACUCAGGUUUUGCAAAUGGAAUCUUCAAUUGUGAAUUUCUUGAAGUUUGAAUUGACAACACCACCUGUUAGAUGUUUCUUGAGAAGAUCUGUGUGUGUUGCUCAUGUGGUAAGGUAUAAAAAUAAAUUUUUUAUGCUUUUAAUUGGGUCAAUUUCUAUGAGGUGUAAAAACAAAUCCUUGGUUCCCCACACAUACAUGAUUCCGGAAGGGCAUAUGAUAUCAUUUAAAUUAAAAAACCAGUUGCUAGAAAUGCGCAAUGAGAUUGAAGAGGAUCAUGAAACUAAAACAAGCCAAGCUCGAAGCUAUGCAAAAUAUAUAUAUUGAGAGCCAACAACAAAACCUGGAAGCUAUGAUGCAUUAUGUAUUUAUGUUAUACAAAGUGCUAGUUAGAGAUCGAGAAGCGUAGAAUGUUCAAUUUCUCUUUAAUCUACAUCUUGUGUUGACUAUAUUGUUACUUGAGUUUGAAUAACCAUCUAAAGUACACCAUUUUACUAUUAAUGAUAUGUGUUUUACUA